UACGGGGGGGGCAAGCGUUGUUCGGAAUUACUGGGCGUAAAGGGCGCGUAGGCGGUUUGCUAAGUUGAAUGUGAAAACUCUGGGCUUAACCCAGAGCCUGCAUUCAAUACUGGCAGGCUAGAGUUCUGGAGGGGAUAGCGGAAUUCCUGGUGUAGCGGUGAAAUGCGUAGAUAUCAGGAGGAACACCGGUGGCGAAGGCGGAUCUCUGGGCCUGUCCUGACGCUGAGGCGCGAAAGCUAGGGGAGCGAACAGG
rnacentral:rRNA from 1 species